rnacentral:rRNA from 1 species
GGUAACACUGAAUGGAGGACCGAACCGACUUACGUUGAAAAGUGAGCGGAUGAACUGAGGGUAGCGGAGAAAUUCCAAUCGAACCUGGAGAUAGCUGGUUCUCUCCGAAAUAGCUUUAGGGCUAGCCUCAAGUGAUGAUUAUUGGAGGUAGAGCACUGUUUGGACGAGGGGCCCCUCUCGGGUUACCGAAUUCAGACAAACUCCGAAUGCCAAUUAAUUUAACUUGGGAGUCAGAACAUGGGUGAUAAGGUCCGUGUUCGAAAGGGAAACAGCCCAGACCACCAGCUAAGGUCCCAAAAUAUAUGUUAAGUGGAAAAGGAUGUGGCGUUGCCCAGACAACUAGGAUGUUGGCUUAGAAGCAGCCAUCAUUUAAAGAGUGCGUAAUAGCUCACUAGUCGAGUGACACUGCGCCGAAAAUGUACCGGGGCUAAACAUAUUACCGAAGCUGUGGAUUGUCCUUUGGACAAUGGUAGGAGAGCGUUCUAAGGGCGUUGAAGCAUGAUCGUAAGGACAUGUGGAGCGCUUAGAAGUGAGAAUGCCGGUGUGAGUAGCGAAAGACGGGUGAGAAUCCCGUCCACCGAUUGACUAAGGUUUCCAGAGGAAGGCUCGUCCGCUCUGGGUUAGUCGGGUCCUAAGCUGAGGCCGACAGGCGUAGGCGAUGGAUAACAGGUUGAUAUUCCUGUACCACCUAUAAUCGUUUUAAUCGAUGGGGGGACGCAGUAGGAUAGGCGAAGCGUGCGAUUGGAUUGCACGUCUAAGCAGUAAGGCUGAGUAUUAGGCAAAUCCGGUACUCGUUAAGGCUGAGCUGUGAUGGGGAGAAGACAUUGUGUCUUCGAGUCGUUGAUUUCACACUGCCGAGAAAAGCCUCUAGAUAGAAAAUAGGUGCCCGUACCGCAAACCGACACAGGUAGUCAAGAUGAGAAUUCUAAGGUGAGCGAGCGAACUCUCGUUAAGGAACUCGGCAAAAUGACCCCGUAACUUCGGGAGAAGGGGUGCUCUUUAGGGUUAACGCCCAGAAGAGCCGCAGUGAAUAGGCCCAAGCGACUGUUUAUCAAAAACACAGGUCUCUGCUAAACCGUAAGGUGAUGUAUAGGGGCUGACGCCUGCCCGGUGCUGGAAGGUUAAGAGGAGUGGUUAGCUUCUGCGAAGCUACGAAUCGAAGCCCCAGUAAACGGCGGCCGUAACUAUAACGGUCCUAAGGUAGCGAAAUUCCUUGUCGGGUAAGUUCCGACCCGCACGAAAGGCGUAACGAUUUGGGCACUGUCUCAACGAGAGACUCGGUGAAAUCAUAGUACCUGUGAAGAUGCAGGUUACCCGCGACAGGACGGAAAGACCCCGUGGAGCUUUACUGUAGCCUGAUAUUGAAAUUCGGCACAGCUUGUACAGGAUAGGUAGGAGCCUUUGAAACGUGAGCGCUAGCUUACGUGGAGGCGCUGGUGGGAUACUACCCUAGCUGUGUUGG